rnacentral:rRNA from 1 species
UACGAAGGGGGCUAGCGUUGUUCGGAAUCACUGGGCGUAAAGCGCACGCAGGCGGAUCGUUAAGUCAGGGGUGAAAUGCCAAGGCUCAACCUUGGAACUGCCUCUGAUACUGGCGAUCUUCGAGUCCGGGAGAGGUGAGUGGAACUCCGAGUGUAGAGGUGAAAUUCGUAGAUAUUCGGAAGAACACCAGUGGCGAAGGCGGCUCACUGGCCCGGUACUGACGCUCAGGUGCGAAAGCGUGGGGAGCAAACAGG